rnacentral:rRNA from 1 species
GACGAACCGUGCGAACGUUGUUCGGAAUCACUGGGCUUAAAGGGCGCGUAGGCGGUUUCCCAAGUCCGGGGUGAAAUCUUUCGGCUUAACCGGAAAAGUGCCUUGGAUACUGGGAGACUCGAGGGGGGUAGGGGCAAGCGGAACUUCCGGUGGAGCGGUGAAAUGCGUUGAUAUCGGAAGGAACGCCGGCGGCGAAAGCGGCUUGCUGGACCCCAUCUGACGCUGAUGCGCGAAAGCUAGGGUAGCGAACGGG